rnacentral:tRNA from 1 species
GCCGGGAUAGCUCAGCUGGUAGAGCACCGCAUUCGUAAUGCGGGAGUCCGGAGUUCGAGUCUCCGUCCCGGCACCA